rnacentral:rRNA from 1 species
GGAAUAUUGCACAAUGGGCGCAAGCCUGAUCCAGCCAUGCCGCGUGAAUGAUGACGGCCCUAGGGUUGUAAAGUCCUUUCGGCGGGGAAGAUAAUGACGGUACCCGCCGAAGAAGCCCCGGCUAACUUCGUGCCCGCAGCCGCGGUAAUACGAAGGGGGCUAGCGUUGCUCGGAAUCACUGGGCGUAAAGCGCACGUAGGCGGCUUGUUAAGUCAGGGGUGAAAUCCUGGAGCUCAACUCCAGAACUGCCUUUGAUACUGACGAGCUUGAGUCCGGGAGAGGUGAGUAGAGCUGCGAGUGUAGAGGUGAAAUUCGUAGAUAUUCGCAAGACCACCAGUGGCGAAGGCGGCUCACUGGCCCGGUACUGACGCUGAGGUGCGAAAGCGUGGGGAGCAAA